UACGUAGGUGGCAAGCGUUGUCCGGAUUUACUGGGCGUAAAGAGCGCGCAGGCGGUCGUUCAAGUCGCGUGUGAAAGCCCCCCGGCUCAACUGGGGAGGGUCACUCGAUACUGAUCGACUCGAAGGCAGGAGAGGGAAGUGGAAUUCCCGGUGUAGUGGUGAAAUGCGUAGAUAUCGGGAGGAACACCAGUGGCGAAGGCGGCGCUCUGGAACGUUUCUGACACUGAGGCUCGAAAGCGUGGGGAGCAAACAGG
rnacentral:rRNA from 1 species